rnacentral:rRNA from 1 species
UGGGGAAUAUUGCACAAUGGGCGCAAGCCUGAUGCAGCGACGCCGCGUGAGGGAUGGAGGCCUUCGGGUUGUAAACCUCUUUCGCCAGUGAAGCAGGCCAUCUUCUUUGUGGGGUGGUUGACGGUAGCUGGAUAAGAAGCGCCGGCUAACUACGUGCCAGCAGCCGCGGUAAUACGUAGGGCGCGAGCGUUGUCCGGAAUUAUUGGGCGUAAAGAGCUCGUAGGCGGCUGGUCGCGUCUGUCGUGAAAUCCCCUGGCUUAACUGGGGGCUUGCGGUGGGUACGGGCCGGCUCGAGUGCGGUAGGGGAGACUGGAAUUCCUGGUGUAGCGGUGGAAUGCGCAGAUAUCAGGAGGAACACCGGUGGCGAAGGCGGGUCUCUGGGCCGUUACUGACGCUGAGGAGCGAAAGCGUGGGGAGCGAACAGG